UACGUAGGGUGCAAGCGUUGUCCGGAAUUAUUGGGCGUAAAGAGCUCGUAGGCGGUCUGUCGCGUCUGCUGUGAAAACUCAGGGCUUAACCCUGAGCUUGCAGUGGGUACGGGCAGACUAGAGUGCGGUAGGGGAGACUGGAAUUCCUGGUGUAGCGGUGAAAUGCGCAGAUAUCAGGAGGAACACCGGUGGCGAAGGCGGGUCUCUGGGCCGAAAACUGACGCUGGAGGAGCGAAAGCGUGGGGAGCAAACAGG
rnacentral:rRNA from 1 species